rnacentral:lncRNA from 1 species
UUAAAAUUAUUUAUUCCGAAACUAUUUUAAAAUAAUUAAGUUAACUCUGGGAAGACAGGUAUGGGGAAAGAUGAGAAUUUUGUGAUCGUUCUUCGAUUAAAGUGGAUUUAAUACGGAAUAUUCACAACAGCAGCCUUCAUCCUGGAUGCCUCCACGCUAAACUGUAGGAAAAUCCUGCCAUUUGUUGGCGUGUGAAUGAAAUAUCACAAAACUCUCAUCUUCUCUUCACUCUUGUCCUCCCUUUCUGUUUAAUGACGCAUUGAAUUGACGUACGAUUACGGAUGAAUGCAUUUAAUUUACACACGAUUAUGAAUUUACGAAAUUAUUUUCUGAGUAAAAAUGUCAAUUGUUCCGAUUUUCCGAAGAGAGUGUCCAUUUUAUUGAGCUUUGUUUCGGUGUUCUACAAAAUUCAGUUUGGGACACGAAAAGCAUAUAAAAUACGAUAUUUCCGAAAAUACCUAGGAAAUUUUGAAUUUUCCACGUUGAAACCCAUAUAUAAUUUCGGAUAAUGCAAAACGAAACAGCAUUAUCAUCAUCCUUUUCUAACUUGCACGUGUCUUUGACCUUGCAGUUGGAAACACUAGGCCGAAGGUCGUACUGAUUAGGAAGGAUGGAGUAUAAGUUAUCGCUAUCCGUAAUUCAUAUGAGUUUUUGAUGAUCUCUUUCUGUAAUUAAAGUUUAUUAUAAGUUAUUAACUAAUAAAAAUUAAUGCCAGUUACAAAAUGUGUUUUUAGUAAUAAUUAAAUUCAUUAAUAUCAACUGUAAAAUGCAAGAGAAAAUGCAC